GAGACCCUGGAUCGCCGGCGGAGCAGCAUAGCAGUAGCAGUAGUACUAAAAUGGCGGAGGGGGGAGACCGGAGACGGCUAGUGGACUGACCAAGCGAGCGAGCGAGAGAGAGAGCGCGGGCGGCGAGGGAGGAUGACGGGGCCGCCGCACCGGGACCAGGAGCGCGACCGGCGCCGGACGCUGCUGCUGGUGAGCCUGGCGUCCAUCAUGGAGCGCGCCGACGAGGCGCUGCUCCCGGCGGUGUACCGCGAGAUCGGCGCCGCCAUGCACGCCGACCCCACGUGGCUCGGCUCCCUCACGCUGUGCCGCUCCAUCGUGCAGGCCGCGUGCUACCCGCUCGCCGCCUACGCCGCCGCGCGGCACAACCGCGCCCACGUCAUCGCCGUGGGGGCGUUCCUCUGGGCCGCCGCCACCUUCCUCGUCGGCGUCUCCGAAACCUUCCUCCAGGUAGCAAUCUCGAGGGGACUGAAUGGCAUCGGCCUCGCGCUCGUGGUACCAUCGAUCCAGUCACUGGUCGCCGACUCCACGGACGACGGCACGCGCGGCUCGGCGUUCGGCUGGCUGCAGCUCGCAAGCUGCAUCGGGCUCAUCGCCGGCGGCUUCGUCGGCCUGCUGCUGGCACAGACCACGGUCCUUGGGAUCGCCGGCUGGCGCAUCGCCUUCCACCUCGUGGCGGGAAUUAGCGUCGCCGUUGGUGCCCUCAACUGGUUCUUCUCCGUGGACCCCCAUUUCCCCACGGGCGACGCGGCUGCCGGCCCAGGCGGCGACGAGAAGCCCGCCGUGCGGCAGGUGGUGGAGGAGAUGAUCGCGGAGGCCAAGUUCGUGGUGCAGAUCCCGACGUUCCAGAUCUUCGUGGCGCAGGGCGUCAGCGGCUCGUUCCCGUGGUCCGCGCUCUCCUCCUUCGCGUCCAUGUGGCUCGAGCUCAUCGGGUUCAGCCACCGGGAGACAGCCGUGCUCAUGACCAUCUUCUGGGUCGCGAGCUCCCUCGGCGGCCUCAUCGGGGGCAAGCUGGGCGACCUCCUCGCCCUGCGAUACCCGGACGCCGGGAGGAUCGUCCUAUCGCAGAUCAGCGCCGGCUCGGCCGUGCCCCUUGCCGCCGUGCUGCUCAGAGGGCUCCCCGAUGACCCGUCCACCGGCGUCAACCACGGCGUCGUCCUGUUCGUCAUGGGCGUGUUCAUCUCCUGGAACGGCCCUGCCACAAACUUCCCAAUUUUCGCGGAGAUCGUGCCGGAGAAAUCAAGAACGAGCAUAUACGCGCUCGACAGGUCGUUCGAGACGGUGCUGUCGUCGUUCGCGCCGCCGAUCGUCGGCAUCCUGGCGCAGCGCGUGUACGGGUACAGGCCGGACGACAAGGGGACGAGCACUCAGCUGGAUCGGGAGAACGCGGCGUCGCUGGCCAAGGCGCUGUACACGGCCAUCGCGAUACCGUUCACAGUCUGCGCCGCCAUAUACUCCUUCCUGUACUGCAGCUAUCCCCGGGACAGGGAUCGUGCCCGGAUGCAGUCGCUGGCGGAGUCGGAGAUGCAGCAGGUGGAGCACGAGGGUUCUCGCUUGGAAGGCGGCGAUGGAGAUGGAGGAUCCGCCGUUCAUGGUUCGAAGGAGGAGUCGCCGGAGGCUGAGAAGGAUACCGCGAAACUGUUAUCGGACGUUGAGCAAGGUACUAGAUGAGUAGUGAUUUGAAUCCUACGGAACCCGGAUCUUCUAACGUGCCCGUGAACCUCGCGUCGUUGGAUCGAUUUCUGUGAUACGCGCUCUGUUUUUUUAGGGAGUGAUGUGUACUGUACUGUUUUUUUUUUCGGAAUUGCUAAUUUUCAUACGGAUGAAAACUAUUGGCUUUCAUCCGUUUUUUGGGCCGUGCGAUCUAUGUCACGAGAUUUGUAUUUUUCUUCGCUAGCGGAUCCGUUAGGUUCCGCUCGCUAUCCCGCAUCGGUGCUUUUUUUUCCCUACCCGUGUAGCUUCCCCUGUCUCUUCCCCUCGCCGCUUGAUCCCCUUUGUCAUUUCGAACACUACCACGGAAUAGAGGCGAGUGAGAGAGAUUGCCAUGGCGAUUUGGAGCUCCCCCUCGCCGCUCGAUCCAGCUGGUUGGUGGUGACUUGUCCGUGCUCUCCCUCCCUCUGCCUCGCCCCCUCCGCCUCGCCGCUGUUUCUCCCGCCGAAGGCCUGCAGCAUCUCUUGCCCCCCUCAUCCACCCCGGCCCCAUUAUUUCGCCACCCGUCGAUUUUGUUCGUCUGAUUUGUUCCAACACAGAUUCAUAAUUUCAUCAGGCUUUGGGAAUGUGUAUAUCACUCCUAUGAUGCAUAGAAGGAUUAAUUUUCGAAGAGUUUGAUGUGUUGCACCCAGCUGUUCCUAAGCAAGAUAAUCGCCAUGAUUGUGGUGUCUUUACAUUUAAGUAUAUGGAAAUUUUCACACCAAGAACUCAGAUGUCAAUCCUUUUGUCCAGUGUAGACAUUCCAAAUCUUAGGAUCAAAUAUGUGAAUGACAUGCAUUUUCAGCCCCUUGAACAGUUCUGACAAAUCUUUUGUCACUGAUUUCUUUGGUGAUGGAGGCAAUGCCAAGUGAGGUUCAGCAUGUGCGCAGUCCUAGCUCAAAUGGUGACUGAGUUUUAUUUUUCAGUAGCAUGUCAUCUGAACAAAGUAGCAUGCAAUCUGAGCAUAGUAGUAUUUGUUUAGUAGUGGUUCUAUGUUUCAUUUUGAUUGUAAGGUUGUUGGAUACUGUCAUGUCUUUAUGCCUGUGACUCGGCAGUACUUAUUUGAGCACGUUAAUACUACAGUGCUUAAAAAAAUUGAUUCUAUAUUAGGGGUCCCUUUCUUAA